GGGGACCCGCAAGCGGUGGAUGAUGUGGAUUAAUUCGAUGCAACGCGAAAAACCUUACCUACCCUUGACAUGUACGGAAGACCGAAGAGAUUUGGUUGUGCUCGAAAGAGAACCGUAACACAGGUGCUGCAUGGCUGUCGUCAGCUCGUGUCGUGAGAUGUUGGGUUAAGUCCCGCAACGAGCGCAACCCUUGUCAUUAGUUGCUACAUUCAGUUGAGCACUCUAAUGAGACUGCCGGUGACAAACCGGAGGAAGGUGGGGAUGACGUCAAGUCCUCAUGGCCCUUAUGGGUAGGGCUUCACACGUCAUACAAUGGUACAUACAGAGGGCCGCCAACCCGCGAGGGGGAGCUAAUCCCAGAAAGUGUAUCGUAGUCCGGAUCGCAGUCUGCAACUCGACUGCGUGAAGUUGGAAUCGCUAGUAAUCGCGGAUCAGCAUGUCGCGGUGAAUACGUUCCCGGGUCUUGUACACACC
rnacentral:rRNA from 1 species